CCUACGGGAGGCAGCAGUGGGGAAUAUUGCACAAUGGGGGAAACCCUGAUGCAGCGACGCCGCGUGAGUGAAGAAGUUUUUCGGUACGUAAAGCUCUAUCAGCAGGGAAGAAAAUGACGUUACCUAAUUAAGAAGCCCCGGCUAACUACGUGCCAGCAGCCGCGGUAAUACGUAGGGGGCAAGCGUUAUCCGGAUUUACGGGGUGGAAAGGUAGCGUAGACGGCAGCACAAGUCUGGAGUGAAAUGCCGGGGCUUAACCCCGGAACUGCUUUGGAAACUGUGCAGCUAGAGUGCAGGAGAGGUAAGUGGAAUUCCUGGUGUAGGGGUGAAAUGCGUAGAUAUUAGGAGGAACACCAGUGGCGAAGGCGACUUACUGGACUGUAACUGACGUUGAGGAUCGAAAGCGUGGGGAGCAAACAGGAUUAGAUACCCUUGUAGUC
rnacentral:rRNA from 1 species